rnacentral:lncRNA from 1 species
CUGGCUGUUGCUUCUCGUGCCCUAGACGUGCACAGACAGCUGAAGGAGACUCAUUUAUUUAGUUCCUUCACUCAUCUAUUUUCCUCCCCCCUCUGCCUGCCUGGCUGACUGGGCUCACACUCUCUCUGUGAGUGAGGGUGUGUGUGUGAGAGUGCGUUUGUCUCAGGCUGAGGUGGAGUGUACGCUGUGCAGGCUGUGGAGUGGAUCUCUACUCUUCCUUUCCCAGUAGAAUAUUGGAUGAGAAUAGUGGAAGUCUCUCUUUCUUUCUCCUACCUCUGACUAUAGACUGUCGCCUGUGCUGCAUCCAUGACUUUACAUGCUUGGCUGGUGUAUGGGCUUGGAUUUACUAUGAUAUCUUAUUUUUUCAUCACACAAGUCAAUGGGCUGCAGUGCUAUGGCUGUAACAUCAUCCAGGGCCAGAGGUACGUGGACAUUGGAUGCUCUAACCCAGAGGUCAUCACCUGCACCCACUCACACAAGGGCUUCAAACAUCGCUUCUGCAUCAAGACAGAGAGCACAGCCCUGGGAAUUGUCCUGACCAGUGGAUGUGCCACAUCAAGACACUGCCAGCAACAAGAGCUGCCUGGAGUGCGCAUCCACUGCUGCACCUCAGACCUGUGUAACAGCACCCCCUGCUGUCGAGCGAGCACAUUGCAUUACAUCUACGCACUGGGAAGCUUGCUGCUGCUGAGGUUGUGGUUGUGAUAUGAGGUCACACAACUUGUACUUGGACAGAUGGAACUCUGGAUAAACCAUCUAUGAAUGACACUGUACAUGGCUAGUUCUCAGUGUCUCUUCUCAGCUCCAUGUGUUAAGGGUCUGAGACUGAGAGGAGGGUUGUACAAUACUGUACAUCAGAGCAGGUUUUGUGAAGAUGAAUUUUCGCUGGGCUUCUUAUCCCAAUGUCAGAAACAAAGGAAAAUAACUAAGCCAAGGUUCCCAUAAUUCAUUAUUAUGAUGAUUUUAUAAAGUUAUUAAAUCAGUUCAGGAAGUGUCCCAGAGAGUAAUGUUCAUUUAAAACCAUCAGUAUGGCUAGCAAUGGCUGUAUGGCUUUCUAAGAUGCACGUUGCAUGUGGCUUUUAUUUCAGAUUGUAAGAUGGUAAGAAAUAAUGUACAGUGAAAGUGAA